CAAGUCGAACGCGAAAGGGGGGCAACCCCCGAGUAGAGUGGCGAACGGGUGAGUAAUACAUCGGAACGUGUCCAGUAGCGGGGGAUAACCUCUCGAAAGAGAGGCUAAUACCGCAUACGUCCUACGGGAGAAAGAGGGGGAUCGCAAGACCUCUCACUAUUGGAGCGGCCGAUGUCGGAUUAGCUAGUUGGCGGGGUAACGGCCCACCAAGGCGACGAUCCGUAGCUGGUCUGAGAGGACGACCAGCCACACUGGAACUGAGACACGGUCCAGACUCCUACGGGAGGCAGCAGUGGGGAAUUUUGGACAAUGGGCGCAAGCCUGAUCCAGCCAUGCCGCGUGAGUGAAGAAGGCCUUCGGGUUGUAAAGCUCUUUCGGCUGGGACGAAAAGGUCCGUGCUAACACCACGGAUCCAUGACGGUACCAGCAGAAGAAGCACCGGCUAACUACGUGCCAGCAGCCGCGGUAAUACGUAGGGUGCAGGCGUUAAUCGGAAUUACUGGGCGUAAAGCGUGCGCAGGCGGUCUAUUAAGACAGGUGUGAAAUCCCCGGGCUUAACCUGGGAACUGCGCUUGUUACUGAUAGGCUUGAGUGUGGCAGAGGGGGGGUGGAAUUCCACGUGUAGCAGUGAAAUGCGUAGAGAUGUGGAGGAACACCGAUGGCGAAGGCAGCCCCCUGGGCUAACACUGACGCUCAUGCACGAAAGCGUGGGGAGCAAACAGGAUUAGAUACCCUGGUAGUCCACGCCCUAAACUAUGUCAACUGGUUGUCGGGGAAGCAAUUCCUUGGUAACGAAGCUAACGCGUGAAGUUGACCGCCUGGGG
rnacentral:rRNA from 1 species